GACGUAGGAGGCGAGCGUUGUCCGGAUUCAUUGGGUGUAAAGAGCACGCAGGCGGUUUGGCAAGUCGGAUGUGAAAGCCCGGAGCUCAACUCCGGACCUGCAUCCGAAACUGCCCGACUAGAGGUAGGUAGGGGAGAUCGGAAUUCCUGGUGUAGCGGUGAAAUGCGCAGAUAUCAGGAGGAACACCGGUGGCGAAGGCGGAUCUCUGGGCCUUACCUGACGCUCAGGUGCGAAAGCUAGGGGAGCGAACAGG
rnacentral:rRNA from 1 species